rnacentral:rRNA from 1 species
CCUACGGGCGGCAGCAGUGGGGAAUAUUGGACAAUGGGGGCAACCCUGAUCUAGCCAUGCCGCGUGUGUGAAGAAGGCCCUCGGGUUGUAAAGCACUUUCAGUGAGGAAGAACGCCUGGUGGUUAAUACCCAUCAGGAAAGACAUCACUCACAGAAGAAGCACCGGCUAACUCCGUGCCAGCAGCCGCGGUAAUACGGAGGGUGCGAGCGUUAAUCGGAAUUACUGGGCGUAAAGCGCGCGUAGGUGGCUUGAUAAGCCGGUUGUGAAAGCCCCGGGCUCAACCUGGGAACGGCAUCCGGAACUGUCAAGCUAGAGUGCAGGAGAGGAAGGUAGAAUUCCCGGUGUAGCGGUGAAAUGCGUAGAGAUCGGGAGGAAUACCAGUGGCGAAGGCGGCCUUCUGGACUGACACUGACACUGAGGUGCGAAAGCGUGGGUAGCAAACAGGAUUAGAUACCCUUGUAGUC